CCUACGGGAGGCAGCAGUGGGGAAUAUUGGGCAAUGGGCGCAAGCCUGACCCAGCAACGCCGCGUGAAGGAAGAAGGCUCUCGGGUUGUAAACUUCUUUUAUCAGGGACGAAGCAAGUGACGGUACCUGAUGAAUAAGGAUCGGCUAACUCCGUGCCAGCAGCCGCGGUAAUACGGAGGAUGCGAGCGUUAUCCGGAUUUAUUGGGUUUAAAGGGUGCGCAGGCGGAGGUGCAAGUCAGUGGUCAAAUUGCGGGGCUCAACCCCGUACUGCCGUUGAAACUGCAUCCCUUGAGUGCGCGAGAAGUAUGCGGAAUGCGUGGUGUAGCGGUGAAAUGCAUAGAUAUCACGCAGAACUCCGAUUGCGAAGGCAGCAUACCGGCGCGCAACUGACGCUCAUGCACGAAAGCGUGGGUAUCGAACAGGAUUAGAUACCCCGGUAGU
rnacentral:rRNA from 1 species